rnacentral:rRNA from 1 species
CCUACGGGGAGCAGCAGUGAGGAAUAUUGGUCAAUGGACGAGAGUCUGAACCAGCCAAGUAGCGUGAAGGAUGACUGCCCUAUGGGUUGUAAACUUCUUUUAUAUGGGAAUAAAAUGUUCCACGUGUGGGAUUUUGUAUGUACCAUAUGAAUAAGGAUCGGCUAACUCCGUGCCAGCAGCCGCGGUAAUACGGAGGAUCCGAGCGUUAUCCGGGUUUAUUGGGUUUAAAGGGAGCGUAGGUGGAUUGUUAAGUAAGUUGUGAAAGUUUGCGGCUCAACCGUAAAAUUGCAGUUGAAACUGGCAGUCUUGAGUACAGUAGAGGUGGGCGGAAUUCGUGGUGUAGCGGUGAAAUGCUUAGAUAUCACGAAGAACUCCGAUUGCGAAGGCAGUUCACUGGACUGCAACUGACACUGAGGCUCGAAAGUGUGGGUAUCAAACAGGAUUAGAUACCCGAGUAGUC